UGGUGGUGGUGAAAGUCCAGUGCCUAGAAUCCCCAAGUAUUACUGGACUGAAAUUAGGGCCUCAUCUUUGGAAACACUAGGUAUAUUGUCAGGCGUGUUUGUGAUUAUUUUGUGGCCACUGUUGGCCCUGCUUUCUGCCCCCAUCAGGACUCCCAAGAGGUCUGGCUGAGGUCGGCGACAGCACAUUUGAGAGGGUUUGACAGGCUAACUGUGAUCCUGUUCACCGACCUGCUUACCAACAAGUCCAUCUACACGUCUGCACAUCAGGUCGCCAGGCGAAGACCUGCUCUACUUUUGCCUCCCGUGUAACUAAAGGGAUCUUCCCGCCCCGGGG